CUUAACCAACCAUCCCCGGUUUGUGAAAGAAGCCUUUGGGGUUGAAAACCAUUUUCAGUUGUGAGGAAGGUUUAUGCGUUAAUAGCGUAUAGAUUUGACGUUAGCGACAGAAGAAGCACCGGCUAAUUCCGUGCCAGCAGCCGCGGUAAUACGGAGGGUGCGAGCGUUAAUCGGAAUUACUGGGCGUAAAGCGCAUGCAGGUGGUUUGUUAAGUCAGAUGUGAAAGCCCGGGGCUCAACCUCGGAAUAGCAUUUGAAACUGGCAGACUAGAGUACUGUAGAGGGGGGUAGAAUUUCAGGUGUAGCGGUGAAAUGCGUAGAGAUCUGAAGGAAUACCGGUGGCGAAGGCGGCCCCUGGACAGAUACUGACACUCAGAUGCGAAAGCGUGGGGAGCAAACAGGAUUAGAUACCCUGGUAGUCCACGCCGUAAACGAUGUCUACUUGGAGGUUGUGGCCUUGAGCCGUGGCUUUCGGAGCUAACGCGUUAAGUAGACCGCCUGGGGAGUACGGUCGCAAGAUUAAAACUCAAAUGAAUUGACGGGGGCCCGCACAAGCGGUGGAGCAUGUGGUUUAAUUCGAUGCAACACGAAGAACCUUACCUACUCUUGACAUCCAGAGAACUUUUCAGAGAUGAAUUGGUGCCUUCGGGAACUCUGAGACAGGUGCUGCAUGGCUGUCGUCAGCUCGUGUUGUGAAAUGUUGGGUUAAGUCCCGCAACGAGCGCAACCCUUAUCCUUGUUUGCCAGCGAGUAAUGUCGGGAACUCCAGGGAGACUGCCGGUGAUAAACCGGAGGAAGGUGGGGACGACGUCAAGUCAUCAUGGCCCUUACGAGUAGGGCUACACACGUGCUACAAUGGUGCAUACAGAGGGCGGCCAACUUGCGAAAGUGAGCGAAUCCCAAAAAGUGCGUCGUAGUCCGGAUUGGAGUCUGCAACUCGACUCCAUGAAGUCGGAAUCGCUAGUAAUCGUGGAUCGGAAUGCCACGGUGAAUACGUUCCCGGGCCUUGUACACACCGCCCGUCACACCAUGGGAGUGGGCUGCAAAAGAAGUAGGUAGUUUAACCUUCGGGGGGACGCUUACCACUUUGUGGUUCAUGACUGGGGUGAAGUCGUAACAAGGUAGCCGU
rnacentral:rRNA from 1 species